rnacentral:rRNA from 1 species
GUCGUCAGCUCGUGUCGUGAGUAGUUAGUUCGGGUUAAGUACCCGCAACGAGACCGCAACCCUUUGUUCCUUAGUUGCCAGUCAUUAAGGUUGGGCACUACUAAGGAGACUGGCCGGUGUUAAACCGGAGGAAGGUGGGGAUGACGUCAAGUCCUCAUGGCCUUUAUGACCAGGGCUACACACGUACUACAAUGGCCGGUACAAAGGGCAGCGACACAGCGAUGUGAAGCGAAUCCCGAAAAGCCGGUCUCAGUCCGGAUUGGAGUCUGCAACUCGACUCCAUGAAGUUGGAAUCGCUAGUAAUCGCGGAUCAGCACGCCGCGGUGAAUACGUUCCCGGGCCUU